rnacentral:rRNA from 1 species
UACGUAGGCAGCGAGCGUUGUUCGGAAUCACUGGGCGUAAAGGGUGCGUAGGCGGGUCUUUAAGUCAGGGGUGAAAUCCUGGAGCUCAACACCAGAACUGCCUUUGAUACUGAAGAUCUUGAGUUCGGGAGAGGUGAGUGGAACUGCGAGUGUAGAGGUGAAAUUCGUAGAUAUUCGCAAGAACACCAGUGGCGAAGGCGGCUCACUGGCCCGAUACUGACGCUGAGGCACGAAAGCGUGGGGAGCAAACAGG